UUUAAGUGCAACGGUGAGUUUCCGUGUUUAAAUUUAAUCGUCCGUCUUAUUUGAAAAUUUUUAUAAUUAGUAUUUUUGUUGUUGUGAAAUGAUAAAACAUGAAUAGUACUUUAUGCGUGACUCAUGUUUUUAUUUUUUUUAAAAAAAAAUUAAAUAAGAUGGACGAUCAAAGUUAAGCACGGAAAAGCAUGGCUGCACUUAAA
rfam:Oryza sativa (indica cultivar-group) chromosome 3, whole genome shotgun sequence.